GACAUAGGUGGCAAGCGUUAUUCGGAAUUACUAGGCGUAAAGCGAGUGUAGGCGGACGAUUAAGUCCGACGUUAAAUCUCCAGGCUUAACUUGGAGUCGCGCCGGAUACUGGUCGCCUCGAGUGGGGUAGGGGGCAGCGGAAUUCCCGGUGUAGCGGUGAAAUGCGCAGAUAUCAGGAGGAACACCGGUGGCGAAGGCGGAUCUCUGGGCCUUACCUGACGCUGAGGCGCGAAAGCUAGGGGAGCAAACAGG
rnacentral:rRNA from 1 species